ensembl:lncRNA
UGCAUGUUGUCAUAUAGGAAUAUAUUGUUUAUUAAUAAACAGCACACAGUGGUCCCGCUCAUCCGUCACUGCCUCGCUUUUUCGCUGAUUUUUCAUUGCACCGUACAGCAUUGCAUUCUGCAGCCUGAUUGACAAAUCUCCUCCGUGUCGUGUCUCCUGCGCUUGCCAAAUUGAUCAUGUUUGGUUUUGAUAACCAUCACGUCCAAUAGAAAAAACAGCACAAAAACGCUCAUAACUAUGACCCUCAUUCGGAAAUAGACACCUGCACCGGGAGGAAAAGGAAAAGGCGCACGAAAGUGGCGGGCAGAUGAAGACAAAACGCGGCAUAAAAAUACUUUUACGUUUUGCAAUCUACAAAGAACCAACUGAUUCUGCUGCAGAGCAUCCCCUGUUGCUUCUCCUGGCUCCCCAGUCCCUGAGCUCCUGCUGCUGCACCCACAGAGAGGAGGACAGCUCCGAGGCAGAUGAGGGACGGGUCCCAGGACGGUCCAUCGGCAGUGGAGCUGGCCAUCCUGGUGUCCCUGAAGAGGCCACGCCAGUCUGCAAUGGAGCAUUUCCUCCUCAGCCUUGUUCCUGCUCUGGAGAGCAGCUGGGUCUUUUUUUUUUUUAUU